GGCUCAGUAGCCUAGUUGGUAAAGCACUCGUCUAGCAUUCAAGAGUCGUGGGUUCGAAUUCCACCUGAGCAA
rfam:Aedes aegypti strain Liverpool supercont1.1096 genomic scaffold, whole genome shotgun sequence.